GGAGAGGUGGCAGAGCGGUUGAAUGCAGCGGUCUUGAAAACCGCCGUGCCUUUACGGGUACCGUGGGUUCGAAUCCCACCCUCUCCGCCA
rnacentral:tRNA from 14 species